CCUACGGGAGGCAGCAGUGGGGAAUCUUGCGCAAUGGGCGAAAGCCUGACGCAGCCAUGCCGCGUGAAUGAUGAAGGUCUUAGGAUUGUAAAAUUCUUUCACCGGGGACGAUAAUGACGGUACCCGGAGAAGAAGCCCCGGCUAACUUCGUGCCAGCAGCCGCGGUAAUACGAAGGGGGCUAGCGUUGCUCGGAAUUACUGGGCGUAAAGGGAGCGUAGGCGGAUAGUUUAGUCAGAGGUGAAAGCCCAGGGCUCAACCUUGGAAUUGCCUUUGAUACUGGCUAUCUUGAGUGUGGGAGAGGUAUGUGGAACUCCGAGUGUAGAGGUGAAAUUCGUAGAUAUUCGGAAGAACACCAGUGGCGAAGGCGACAUACUGGCCCAUUACUGACGCUGAGGCUCGAAAGCGUGGGGAGCAAACAGGAUUAGAUACCCUGGUAGUCCACGCUGUAAACGAUGAGUGCUAGUUGUCGGCAUGCAUGCAUGUCGGUGGACGCAGCUAACGACAUUAAGACACUCCGCCGUCGGGGAGGGUACGGGUCGGCGAAGUAAGUUAAAACUUAAAAGUUAAAGUAAGUUAGGUUACGGCGNGAGAGCGACGACGACGACGACGGAGGAGGAG
rnacentral:rRNA from 1 species